rnacentral:rRNA from 1 species
GUCGAUGGUGUGAAAACACUUCUUGAUGUCGAAUUCCAAAAAUAAGCAAAAGGUUCCCCACUCUUCUUUGAUCCAUCUGAGGGCCGAGUGGCAGCCUCGACCCGAGCGGAAGUGCGAUGUGUUUGGAAACUCGGGAUUGUAAAUGGAUUCGGGUACCAUUCUGAUAGCCUCUUUCAUGAUCUUUUCUGUGGGUAG